ACCUAAUAGAUACCCGGGUAGUCCACGCCCUAAACGAUGCGAACUGGAUGUUGGGUACAUUACGGUACUCAGUGUCGAAAAACUAAACGCGUUAAAGUUCGCCGCCUGGGGAGUACGGUCGCAAGACUGAAACUCAAAGGAAUUGACGGGGGCCCGCACAAGCGGUGGAGUAUGUGGUUUAAUUCGAUGCAACGCGAAGAACCUUACCUGGCCUUGACAUCUGUCGAAUCCUGCAGAGAUGCGGGAGUGCCGCAAGGAACGACAAGACAGGUGCUGCAUGGCUGUCGUCAGCUCGUGUCGUGAGAUGUUGGGUUAAGUCCCGCAACGAGCGCAACCCUUGUCCCUAGUUGCCAGCACAUCAUGGUGGGAACUCUAGGGAGACUGCCGGUGACAAACCGGAGGAAGGUGGGGAUGACGUCAAGUCCUCAUGGCCCUUACGGCCAGGGCUACACACGUACUACAAUGGUCGGUACAGAGGGUUGCGAAGCCGCGAGGCGAAGCCAAUCCCAGAAAACCGAUCCCAGUCCGGAUUGGAGU
rnacentral:rRNA from 1 species